ACUAAUAGGGCGCCACAUCUUCCGUGCAGUAGGCUAUCUCAGAAACUUCCCAUAAUGUAGUGGUCCCAUGUAGUCACUCAAACAUACAUUUAAACACAUUUAGCCAUCGUCUACUUAACUGCAGUAACAGUUAACUUAACUUUGUUUAAAUAUGCCAACAUUAAAGAUGCUACAAGUGGUAUUGCUGGCUUUAGCUUUUCUGUAUGUAGCCUCUGAUCAGAAGAACAGGGGCAAUUGAUGGGCAGGUCCACGAUGGGAAUAAGGAACACAUUGCGAAUAGAACUUCAAAUUCAUACCACCAGAUCAUGUCAUAUCACCCAUCCGCCCCGCAGUAGAUUCCAAGCAUUGCAAGGAAGCGCUGGGCUGGCCGUUAAAUGUGGGGAAACGAAAGUCCAAAUCGUCGUGAAUAAGGAACGUUUCGGAAGAGGCCUCGCAUUCCCCUCCACUUCGCUCCGGCUGGGCGAUAGUCCUAAUUCGCCGGGUACCUGUGCGCCAGUCCCUGGGGACUCUGCGUCCUCGGAAGUAGUCAUAACGGCGGGACUACACGACUGUGAUGGCAAAUAUAGGGUGAGUAGCGAUUGGCUGAUUUACCACAACAAGCUGGUGUUCUCCCCUCUGCCGACCUUCAUCUCCACGGUAACCUGAUCAUCAGAGGGGCCAGGACAGAGCUGCCCAUUGAGUGCCACAGCAGGUGGCAGAGAAGGAGCAGGGGAGACCGUGCGCCUCACCUGGAAAUCCGUCACCUCCUCGGUCGUCGGGGCAGGUCGGUCAUGAAGGCAGGGGGAGCCUGUGAGUCUGGAGGCGGCUGUGGAUGGGCAAAGUCACCUGCCGCUGCGGGUCUAUGUGGACCGCUGUGUCACCACACUCAGCUCAGACCCUCUGUCUGAGCCCAGCUACGACAUCAUCGCUAACCACGGGUGAGACCUGCUGACUGCCCGACACUGAGGGUGACCGCAUCAGGUCAACAGUGUGUGUGCCUGCGUGUGAGGUACAGAAGCUCUGUAAGAAACACGCCCAUUGUGC